UAUUGUUUUUAUACGCCCGUCUAUGACGGGACGUAUUAUGGUAUACCCCGCGUCCGUCUGUCCGUCCGUCCGUCUGUCCGUCCGUUUUUAUACGCCCGUCUAUGACGGGACGUAUUAUGGUAUACCCCGCGUCCGUCUGUCCGUCCGUCCGUCUGUCCGUCCGUAUGUCUGUUAAUGUCGUACGCUACGUCAAAUAUCCUUCGAUGGAUUUUUUUCAAAUUUCAACACAAUCUUAAUAUUGAUAAACCCUGAUCCCCUUUCGUUUUUGACGGAAUUCUGAAUUGUCGUUCCAGAGUUAUGGGACUUUGUUCGUCAAAAUUUCGUUAUUUCAUUGAAUGUCCUACUGUAGCUAUAUAAAAAUGUUAAAGUUGUUAUAACUUUGGUAUGCUUGGACCUAGAGUCUUGAAACUUGACAUGAAGGUUGGCCAGAACUAGUAAGUAACCCCUGGACAUUUCAAGGUCAUUCAUUUGAAGGUCAAGGUCACUGUGACCUUGAAUGUAAAAAUGUUAAAGUUCUUAUUUCAUGUUAUAACUUUGGUAUGCUUGUACCUAGAGUCUUCAAACUUGAAAUAAAGAUUGGCCAGUACUAGAAGAUGACCACUGGUCAUUUCAAUGUCAUUCAUUUGAAGGUCAAGGUCACUGUGACCUUAAAUGUUAAAAUUGUUAUAACUUUGGUAUGCUUGGACAUAGAGUCUUCAAACUUGACAUGAAGGUUUGCAAGCACACUUAGAUGACCACUGGUCAUUUCAAGGUCAUUCAUUCUAAGGUCAAGGUCACUGUGACCUUAAAUGUUAUUGUUGUUCAUGUAUCCUACCGUAGCUCAAAUAUCCCCCGAUGGAUUUUUUAUACGCCCGUCUAUGACGGGACGUAUUAUGGUAUACCCCACGUCCGUCUCUCCGUCCGUCCGUCCGUCCGUCUGUUAAUGUCGUACGCUACGUCAAAUAUCCUUUGACAGAUUUUCUUCAAAUUUUAACACAAUCUUAAUAUUGAUAAACCCUGAUCCCCUUUCGUUUUUGACGGAAUUCUGAAUUGUCGUUCCAGAGUUAUGGGACUUUGUUCGUCAAAAUUUCGUGAUUUCAUUGAAUGUCCUACUGUAGCUCAAAUAUCCUUCGAUGGAUUUUUUUCAAAUUUCAACACAAUCUUAAUAUUGAUAAACCCUGAUCCCCUUUCGUUUUUGACGGAAUUCUGAAUUGUAGUUCCAGAGUUAUGGGACCUUGUUCUUCAAAAUUUCGUGAUUUCCAUGCUCAUGUACUUAUAAAAUAAACCAUGUAUUCAAAUACAAAUAAACUGAAGUAAAAAAAUGA